AUGAGUCUGCUUGUAUGGAACUGUCGUGGGGCUGGCAAACCUGCGACAGUUCGUGAGCUUCGUGACUUCACGAGGCAACUUGCCCCCUCUAUAGUUUGCAUUCUCGAAACCCAAAUAGAGGGAUCUCAUGUUGAGAACAUGGUUGGCACUUUAGGUUUCAAUAAAAGUUUUGCUGUUGGAAGCUCUCGUAGGAGCGUAGGUUUAGGCAUUUUCUGGAAUGAGGAAAUAAAGCUUGAGAUUAUUGGUUAUUCUGAGUAUCAUAUCGAUGUGAUGGUUGAUGAAUUAACACCCACAAAAACUCGCAUUACCUUUGUGUAUGGGGAAGCUCACGUCCUUGAACGAAACAAAACAUAG
rnacentral:rRNA from 1 species